rnacentral:ncRNA from 1 species
UGAUUGUUUAAUUAAAAAAAAGAAUUGCAAUAGUCCCUGUGGAUGCUGACGCAAUGUGAUUUCUUCCCAGUGCUCUGAAUGUUAAAGUGAAGAAAUUCAACCAAGCAUGGGUAAACGGUGGGAGUAACUAUGACUCUCUUAAGGUAUUGUUGGAACAGGGGCAGACUCAGGGUUCAACG